UUUGUUUGCAGCUCCACAAAAUAGUCUUAUUCCCAUAACUUUCUUCAUCAGUUUUUUGGAAGAGUCUGUUCCUGUUAGGUUCAUUGUUGAACUCUUCAUUUUGAUUUUGUGAGACUGUUAAACUUAUACCAGGUUGUCCAUCCUGCAUAGUAUUGUCCCUGAUGGCAGACUCUUGUAUCUCAUUGCGGCAUGAUGUUUCUGUCCCACAUGCUGCCUCUGGACCACUUGCAGAAAAACUGCUACUUUUAUCUUUAAUAUCGGAAUUGCUCUCGCUUUUGAUAUGGGUGGGUCUCAAGAGCAUACUAGAAGGCACCAAAUGCAAUGUGAUUGCUCCAAAUAAUAUAAGGGCACCUAAACAGGAGAGAGACAUUGAGAAGUUAAGCUAAAAAUUACCUCUCUCAUUUCACAAUACUCUGUAUGCUUAGGCUCAGAAGAGGCCCCACCACUAAAUAUUCAGUCAUAGUGCAGUAAUUCCUGAAAACACUGCUUUGUCCUUGUAUUUAGCUGAAAGCAUUUAAAUCCAUUGACUUAACUGUUAGCCAUACACACUGCUGUAUCCUUGUGAAAACGGAGUCCUUGCAGAUAGAAAAGGGGAAAGCUGUGCCACUAGGGGGCAUGGAAGGAGAGUUAUUUGUGCUAAAGGAAAAAAAUGGUUUGGGGUGGGGGGAAGUCAUUUCAAAUGUUAGAAAAUUACAGUGUGUUUUAAAUAUCCUGAAGGGAGGGUGUAGAUUUAGGUACAGAAAAUACAGAAUUAGGUAACGGGAAUCAUUUGGAAACUGCCUUAGAAGAGGAGAUAGCCUGUCAUCCCGUGAUGUUUUAAAUGUCCUAGAAAGAAGACAUGCCAGUGUUGCCUUUGAAGCUGAGUAGUUGCUUGACUUCAGCAUGUCCUGACCAAAGCUGUGACUUGGGUGUGUUGCUUCUAGAGAUAGAAUUAGCUGUAGGUUCUGCUAUCCUGUCUUAUGGAUUUGUCAGCUGGUCUUGUUCACCAUGAGACUACUGGUGGUUUUUUUAAUCAGGAAAGGAAAAGUUCAACAAAACUGCUCUGUAGAUAGGAAUAGGCUUAUAUAUUCACAUAUAUGUACAUAUACAUAGAUUUUUUUCCCCAAUACUUUGAGGUUAUUUUAAUCCAAAUGUUUUAUCUCAGGUAUGAAGAAAAUUGUGGAGUGAAUGGUUUUUAUUCGUGAAAAUUUAUAGUUGACAGUAUAUAAAAGAUUAAGUAUUAAGGAACAUAAUCCUCUUUUCACUCAGUUUUUUUCCGUCUAUUUUAGUGAAUCUGAUGGAGGACACUUUUUUAAAUGCAGAUUUUUUUCUUAAAGAGAAAAUUUGAAGAGAAUGCUUUGAGUAGAGGAUCCUUGUUUCCGCAGGAGUACCGCUUUCCCUGCAAAGAAAAACGAAGCGAUGACAUGAUGGAUCCAAUCCAACCAGUUUGCUCUGAGGUGCCUUCAAACUCUUCUUGAAAAACCACAAAGAAAAUUGCAAAAGUCUUGGUCAUCCCCAUCACGAAUACAUUUACCUAAAUCAAAGCAGACCAAAGAGUCCAAGUCAGGUGAUAUUACUCAUUCGAAAAAUUUAACGGAUGCCUUUCAGCAAGUAACUGGUUACACCCGGAAGGAAAUAAUACGCUGUGUGUGUUUACGUUUAUAAGGCAGGGCUCUGCACAAGUGGUACUUCCUUCUCCCAAACGAACCCGGUUCCUAAAACUCCCGAAGAACGACCCGGUCGGGACAAUUUCAGCACAGAGAGUCGGGUUUGGGCUCGGGCCGCGGAGACCCGCUCAGGAGGGAGUGUGCGGAGCCCCGGCGGGAUUUAAUUCCGGGUCAUUUCGCACCCACACCGGAGGCCCCGGGACAGGGCGUCCCCAAGACGCCCGGCCGGGGCUCGCAGCUCGCGCCCUCUGUCCCGUUCAAAUCCCCCAGCCGCGACCCCAGGACAGGCCUACGAGAAUACUACUCACGUGUCCUCCAAGUGCUGCUCUAAAGUUGCCUCCAUCCCGCCGCGGGUCGCCUUCUUCUUCGCCGCUGGUCUCGGGUGCCCCUCGGUCGUUCACAUGACGCGAGCGGGCCGUGGGCAGGAACGGUGCCUCCAAAGGGACAAAAUUCGUGGCGCAGCCUUCGCGUUGUGUCCGGGAUGACAUCUUUACGCGCCCGCCACCGCGAGCCGGGCGGAGGUUCUGCUGCCUGUGCAACAGGCGAGGGGACGCCGCGGAAUGCCGCCGUGGGAGGGAGGCCUGCAGUCGUCCCUCGGAGCCGGCCUCCUGGCCUGUCCCUCUGUCUCCUCCAUACAGACCUUUGGAUUACAAUUCCACCGACUCCAAGAAGUCGGGCCAGACCCUGUUGAAGUUUUACAACAACCCGGGCGGCCCGACGGGGUCUCAUCCAGGCGGUGGGGCAGAGAGAGAAAAGAGAGACACAGGACCCCGGUGAAAGGCUUACAGGGGAAAAGACUGGACACAGGGACUAGAGGACGAGAUGGAACAAUGCUAAUAGCGUCUACGAACUUAGUGAAGUGUUACUGGUCCUUACUUCAGAGUAGAGAAUGUCGUGAAGACAAGAUGACCCAUCUAGCUCUGCACACCCUGCCAUGAAGAGCGGAGCGAGAAGAUUUUUUGUCGGCUGCCACCGUCUCUCUUGGAAUCUGAAUUUAGCUUCGGGAGCUUACCUAUUGUUACAACACUGAAUUACCCUCUUGUAAGACCUUGGACAAGUCCUCUAAUGCCUUGAUAUCUCAGAUUUUUUUCAAUUCUCCCUGAAGAUAAGAAUAGUAUCCACCUCAUAGCAGUGGUGAGGGAACUCCAUGAGACGAUGCAUGUGAAGCCCCUCACACAGUCUCUGGGGCCACCGCAGACAGUGAACAGGUGAGAGCUGCUAUCGUUGCCGGGACCUCAGGAAAUGAUAGCUGAGGCAAAGUUGAACUAGACUGUCAUUCAGGGCUCUUAGUUGCAAGCAACAGAAGCUGACUUUGGCUUAUAGAGUAGGAAAGGAAAUUUUAAAAUGACACUGGUAGCUCACGGUUACCCAAUUGUUGGGAGGGCUGGAGAGCUCAGUCUAAGCUUCCAGUGACAAAGCUCCAAGCCCACCAUGCCACCCCUGCCACUGGUCUUGUGGCAGCCCACAACAGCGUGCAGCACCAAGGCCAUUACUGUGGCAGGAACCUAACCUUAUGCUUGCUACGCCCCGAAGCCAGACCCCCUCUGCUGCUGCCCUUGCCAGCAAAGUGGAAUUUUCCCAGAGCCUCUGAAUUGAAGUCUUGUGUGGGUAAGUGUAAGCAAUGCAGCCUGAAUCACAUCCCUGGCUUUAGUUGCAAAGGAAGCUGAAGAGGAAAUGUCUGCUUUCUAUAUCUGUUCUGCAAGUGCCUGAGCAAAGCAAAGGUAUUCACCUGGGGCCGGGCAGCAAGAGAGCAUUUCAAGUGUCUCCUACAGGGAGGGGGCUUCCUUCUUUGCGUGAGGGAGAGCUCUUAGGUGAGGCACGCACAGCUCCUUCCAUACCUCAGAGAGCAACUUUACCAGGCAAAGUUCCACGCCCUGGCAAGGGGAGGGGAGAGCUAUCUGCCCUUUCUUCUGCUUGAGUAUAAGAAUAUGAAAUUUGAGAGGCUGGUCAUUUUGCUUUGUGCUUCUAGAGAUAAGGGCCAUGAAAUGCAUCUCAGAGUAUGUAUGUCCGCCAGCUUCGUGCCGUGUCCUCACUGUAGAUCUGUAGUUUCAUUUUUUAAAAUUGAUUUCUCACUCCUAGUUUGCCAAAUUCUAUGUGGGUAGUAGUAAUAAAUCAGGCAGAGCUUCCUCACUCAAGGAGUUUAUGUUCUAUACAGUAAAUAAGCUAGAGAUCAUGGAAAAAACAAAACAAAACCCAAGUUUUAUUUUGGGUAAGAGAAGCUGUUCGAACCAAUGAUCAUUACCAACAACAACCUGAGUGUCUGGCCCAGACCCGAGUCUGGGGCCACAUUGUAAGGAAAGGACUCAGUGGGGCAGGCAGAGCUGCUUCUGGGAGGGAGAAGACACACGAACGAGUGAGUGAGAGAGAGAAGGAUGAAAAGAGAAACACCAAACCCUCAAGGUCAAGGGCUUAUCAGAACUUGAGUGUGUUGUCUUUGCCCUCCAUGGUCCCUAGGAAAGCAUCUAGCACACAGAAAGUGUCCAGCAAAUGUUCUGUUAGGUGGGGAAUCCGUUUGAAAAUCUCAGGAAAGUGACCCUCUCCAACCCUUCAUCUGUCCAUUAUUCUAGCUCCCAAGGAGCCAGUAGAAAGUGGGGGCAGGGACGCAAUCACAGUGUCAAAAGCAGUGAAGGCAGUGGACAGUCUUCAUAACUUACCUGACUGAAAAUGGAUUUCAGGGCUUCCCUGGUGGCGGAGUGGUUGAGAGUCUGCCUGCCGAUGCAGGGGACACGGGUUCGUGCCCCGGUCUGGGAAGAUCCCACAUGCCGCGGAGCGGCUGGGCCCGUGAGCCGUGGCCGCUGAGCCUGCGUCCGGAGCCUGUGCCCCGCAGUGGGAGAGGACACAGCAGUGAGAGGCCCACGUCCUGCAAAAAAAAAAAAAAAAAAAAAAAAAGAAAAUGGAUUUCAUCUCUCUAGGCCUCAGUUUUAAUAUCUGUAAACUUGGUUGGUUUCUCACUCAAGAACAUUGCAUUUACUCUUGUACUUAAAGAUAAAAAAUUAACAUUUAUAAAGCACAUCUCUUCACACACAUUGUCUCUUGUUAAUUCCACAGUCAUCCCAUCAGGGAUCUCCAUCCUCAUUUUGUGGAUGAAGUAACUGAGGUCUGGAGGGGUCUAUAGCUUGUCAAGGCCGUAGAACCUGAGAGUGUCCACGGCUUUGGGACUCCAGAGCUAGGGCCGGCCAGUCUCCAGGAUGUAGAUCCCAGGUGAAUCCGUCUCUCUGCAACUGUCUCCUCAACCAGUCCAGACAGCACAGGCCUGUGAGCCGGACCCAGAAAGUGGCAGAGGCUGCUCUCUCCCCAUCUCCCCUCCCAGCAGUGGGAGGACUUGUCUUGUCUACUCCUUUAGACACCAGGAGUAAAUCAAUUGACACAUUAAUUCUGGGCUGUCAGCAUUUCCCCCAGGAGAAAGUCAGAGUCAGGGAGACUAAUGUCUCAUUGAUCUUUCCAGUUGCCAAAGGGGAAGGGAGAUGAAUGUAAUCCCAUCUGUCAAGGUGGAGAAGGGCCCGUCUGAACGCAGGCUGGAUGACUUUAAGGAGAUAACAGUUUAUCACUCUCUGGACAAGCAAAUAUGAAAGUAGGACAGCCUUCUCUAUGAGUUGGUAGAAACAUUGGUCAGCAAAGAGAAGGCCUGGAGAAAUGAGUGGCACGAUCUCUGGCCUUUGUUCCACUUGUCCUUCCCCUAGGACUUCGUGUUCUUUGUGUACACACAACUGCACAAGUGGGACAAAACCCACCCCUGACCCCCAAGAAAUAGUUAACAUUUGUUGAGGAUUGAUUAUUGCCAGGUGCUGUACUAAGUGUUUUAUAUUUACUAUCGAGCAGCUUUCUGAGGUGUUAUGAUGAGCACCAUUUUACGGGUGUGGAAACUGAGGCUCAGAGAGGUUGAGUGAGUUGCCCAAGGUUGCUGAGCUAGUGAAAGGUGAAAGGGUGGAGGCUGGCUCACCCUGAGUCUGCCCUCAACCACUCAGAGAACACACUGGUUACCCAGCCAGGAAAGUAGCCCAGCAGCCCUGCUUCGAGAUCACUGAGUCUUCACUCACUCCUUCCUUGGUCAGCCCCUGAGGGAGCCCUGCUGACCCCAGCGGGGAGGUGUCUUUACCAGUGGUAGAGGCUGAGCCAAGUCUGAGGGGCUGGGAUGCCUGGAGGCCUCAGUCAGGGUGUCUGGACAGCUGAGUCUCUGGGAGCGGUAGAGGAGUGGGCAGGCCCAAGGCCAUGGGUCUCAGCAGCACGCAAGGCACAGGCUCUGCUGAGGCUCCUCUGGGUUACCGCUGUCCAUGGGUUCCCAUGGAGGAGGGGGAGGUCAGCGACAGCCUCUCAGCAAGCCAGAAGCUGGGACAUCCAGUGUCAAGCCACCAUACAGGCUGCUAUGGCCGCCGAGAGCCUGAGGAAAUGCCACGGCCAUGGGCUAGGAAGCUCAGGUGGGAAUGGCCUGGGGGCCACAACAAUGUGAUCUCAAAAACCCAAGGAGGGGGCUUCCCUGGCGGUGCAGUGGUUGGGAGUCCGCCUGCCGAUGCAGGGGACGCGGGUUCGUGCCCCGGUCCAGGAAGAUCCCACAUGCCGCGGAGCAGCUGGGCCUGUGAGCCAUGGCCGCUGAGCCUGCGUGUCCGGAACCUGUGCUCCGCAACGGGAGAGGCCACAACAGUGAGAGGCCCGCGUAACGCAAAAAAAAAAAACCCAAGGAGGAAUGUGCACACCUGAUAUCCUCAGGGAACACAAGUCUCAGCGUUAAAUUCAAGCGGGACAGAAGCACCCUGCAGAGUAAAGAUCCCCAAAGAGAGGGGCUUUGCCGCCAGCCGUGGCUGGGGACACUGCCAAGGCAAAGGUCACUUGAGGGUGGCAGUUCUUAUCCUCUGUGGCCAGAAGUUAGGGUUUCUAAUUAAUACCACUUUGGAUCAGACAGAGGUGGCUGCUCUGUCCUGGGCUUGUUUGCUGUUUAUCCCUGUGAUUGAUGCUGGUAACCUUUAGAGUCUGUCAGGGAGAUAUUUCAUGGAGGCCCCAUGUGGUGGGAUGAAGACAGCCAGGAAAUGCAAUUCCCUAGUUAAGGCAGAAUCAGAGAUGAAUCUAAAGUAUGGAUGGACAGGCCUAGGCCCUUUCUAGCCUCUUGUCAGGUAGGGGAAGGGGGUGCAGUGGAGGUGGAGGCUUGAGAGGACCUGGAGCUGUAGCAGGGACCUGUCCUGAAGAGAAAUGACAUAUGAAAGAGGCAAGAGGCGUUUUUUUCCCUAAGGCUUUCUCAUGGAAAGUGUCACAUCUGUGUUGGCCAAUAGACUUUGCUGGCUAAGACACACAAGAAAGGAAGCAAACAGGAAGGAAAACACUCUUCCUGCUGUUUCCGCGGUCUUUAAUGUUCGCUCCAAACCACCAUGUCUAUCUGCCAAAAGUCUACCCAUUAAUCAUAAGGCUGAUUUCAAAAGUGAAAAGGUGUUUGAAUCCCUCAAUUAGAGAUGAUCUUCACCCCGACACCCACAGCACUUUGUAUGUUACUGUCAAAGCAUAAUGUUCACACAUUUAAAAACAUGGCUCUCAUAAAAUAUGGAAUGGGCAGGUGUCAAAGAUUUAGUAAUUCAUGAAUGAGGGAACCAAUAAGUUGGCAAAGCUGGUUCAAAGAGCAUUUUGAGGAAAUGGGUAUUUACAAGCACUUAAAAGGAAAUGUUCAAGUACAAUAUCUAGGUUAAGAACAAAACUGGUUGCCCUCACAUGUAUGGUCAAAUGAUUUUUGGCAAGCAUGCCAAGACCAUUCAGUGGGGAAAAGAUGGUCUUUUUUAACAACUGGUGCUGGGAAAGUGGAACACCCAUGUGUAAAAGAAUGAAGUUGAAUUCUUACCUUAUACCAUGUACUGAAGUUAACUCUGAGCAGAUCAAAAGACCUAAAUGGAAAAGCUAAAGCUAUCAAACUCAGAAGAAAACAUAAGGGAAAAACUUCAUGACGUUGGAUUUGGCAAUGAUUUCUUGGAUAUGACACCAAAAGCACAGGAAGCAAAAGAAAAAAAUAGAUAAGUUGGACUAUAUCAAAAUUAAAAACUUUUGUGCAUGGAAGCAAACUAUCAACAGAGUGAAAAGACAGCCCAUGGAAUGGGAGAAAACAUUUGCAAAUCAUGUAUCAGAUAAGGGGUUAAUAUCCAGAAUAUAUAAAAGAACUCCUGCAACUCAACAACAAAAAACCCAAACAACCUGGUUUAAAAAAUGGGCAUAGGACUUGAAUAGACAUUUCUCCAAAGAAGAUAUACAAAUGGCCAAUAAGCACAUGAAAAGAUACUCAACAUCACUAAUCACUGGGGAAGUACAAAUCAAAACCACAAUGAGAUACCUUAUACCCAUUAGAAUAAAAAAACCAAAAAGUAGCAAGUGUUGGGAAGGAUCCGGAGAAAUUGGAACCUUUGUGCACUGUUGGUGGGAAUGUAAAACAGGACAGCCACUGUGGAAAACAGUGGUAGUUCCACAAAAAAUUAGACGUAGAGUUAUUAUAUGAUCCAUCAAUUCCACUUCUGGAUAUAUAUCCACAAGAACGGAAAGCAGAGUCUCAACAGAUGUUUGAACACCCAAGUUUAUAGGAGUAUUAUUCACAAUAGCCAAAAGGUGGAAGCAGCCCAAGUGUCCGUGGACAGACGAAUGGAUGAGCAAAAUGUGGUGUAUAUGUACAAUGAAAUAUGAUUCAGCCUUAAAAAGGAAAGAAACUCUGACACAUGCUACAAUAUGAAUGAAACUUAAGGACAUUAUACUAAGUGAAAUAAACCAGUCUCAUGGACAAGUACUGCACAAUUCCACUAAUAUGAGAUAUGUAGCAUAGUCAAAUUCAUUGAGACCGAAAGUAGACUUUGGUUGCCAGGUGCUGGUGGGAGGGGAGAAUGGGGAGUUAUGUUUAAUGGGUGUAGAGUGUCAGUGUUGCAGGAUGAAAAGAGUCCUUGAGAUGGAUGGCGGUGAUGGUUGCACAAUGUGAAUAUAGUUAAUGACACAGCUGUACACUUAAAAAUGGUUAAGAUGGUAAAAUUUUAUGUUAUGUGUAUUUUACCCCAAUUAAAAACAAAACAACUGGUCAAUGUCUUACAAGGCAGUUAAAAAAAUCAGUCUUUAAUGUUAUGCUUUCUAUUGAAUAGACAUUAUUUAUAUCUUUACUGGACAUGAUCUACAAGUUAACAUGUAACUUCACAGAGUCUGAGCCCUUAAUUAAUGGUAAAUAGCCAUUAAACAAAGAUACCUUCCCCUGGGUGAUUAAAUAAUCCUUGGGUGGACUUGCGAAACAAUGACCAAAUGACAUUGGAAGGACUUACUGUCCUCUUGUGGCCAUAUUUCCAGGUUUUGAAUUAUUAGUAUUAUUUCUUAACAUCACAGUCCUGUACAUCCUUGCUUUUCCCACCAGUCCCUCGAGGGUAGGGGCUCUGUCUUAUUCAGCUUUGCCUUCUCACUGUGUGCUCUGGUUUGCUGAAUGGAACUGAAGAAGGACCAAUGGGAUAGAGCCACUUGGGAGCAGAAGACCUGCAUUUAACUGUUUCUGUGACCAUGACCAUAGUCUCACCCAUCAAAUGAGGACAUGGCACCUGAGUCCUGGGUGCAAUGCUGGGCACUGGGGGUGCUGUCUAAUCUCAGGGUUUCCGUCCAGCUCUAAGAUGCUCGGAUCCUAGUUUGGUCAUCAUCACACAAGAAAGGAUGCAAACACAUAAAUGAAACAUAUAAUGAACACACACAAGUGCCUUUUUCAGGUGCACAUAAUACACAGAGGCAUUUUUUUCUAGCUUUUCUUAGAAGAGCCAUUCUUGAUGCCACGUGACGUCUGUGGCCCUGGCUCCUGGGUUGGGAGGUGCACAAAGAUGUGCUGUUUGUAGCUUUGCUAGAGAGGGAAGAGCUACAGUUUGCUGGAGGCAGGAGCACCUCCUCCCAGCAGCUGGGGGGCCCUGGGUCAGCAGGCCUCAGAGGGACAGUACCCGACCUCCAAGGCUGCCCUUGAGAAAGGAAUUAUAUUGUCUUAUUUUGCUGUUUUCAAUUAAUUUCUUGACAGAUUCUGGCUGUUCCUCUUCUUGUUUUCUUAGGACAGGAGGACUCCCGGUGAUUUAUUAAGAAGGUGAAAUUAUGUGCCCGGUUGGGAACUCUGGGGAGCUCUUGCUGAAAUUGAGCGUUUUGGAGCCAGAUUUACAAGGCAGAAUGGACCUGGGACUGCUCCUUGUGGCAGAAGCUGCUGGGCCACUGUGGAUGAUCCUUCCCACAUUGCACGAUGUCCCCAAAGCCCUUGGAGCCAUGCUCAGCCCCAUCCUGGUAUCCCCCGUGUCCCUCGUGCCUCUGCCAUGGAGGUCCAACCACUUUACUUGGCUGUGGGUCUCAUCAACUUGCAGGUGAAUCCAUCUAUCCCCCCUCCCAGCCUGGCUUGGCCCCCUACUCAUAAGCACUUACACAGUAUUUCACAAAGGAAAUGUCUGCUGGCUGUGUCCCAGACUCUUGAAUGUUAGCUCACAUUAGUCACGGCCACGGAUGCGGCUGGAAUCUUGCUGACCAGGUCCCCAAGGUCUCUGCUGGUCUGUACUCCCCAUGCUUGGGUUGGAGGCACUGCGGAGGGUUUGGAUGGUGAGUGUGGGCACCUCCCAGCUGCACCAUUUCCUGGCAUCCACCAGGCUUCCUCACGUCCACUCUAGACCCUCGGUCUCAGCAGGGGAAACAAAAAAUCUCUCCCUAGCACCACAAUCAUCUUUUGCUGGCUGCUAAGCACCCUUGCUCUGAAAACAAUAACCAACCACCAUAAAAACAGUAGGUCUGCCUUCUCUGUCUAAGCAUGUACUGUGUAGGUGCUUUAGGGAGAGCACCAGAGGCCAGGGAGGAUAAUUUGUCCAAGGACACCAGCUAAGAUGGGACAGAAUGAGGAUUAUUAUUAGUUCUAAAUAAUUCCAAUACUCAUGUUCUUUUUUAUUAUUCCCUUUCCCACUCUUUUCUAAUUAUUCUAAAGUAACAUUUACUUCAUUUUCUAUUACCGAAAGAACGUGUGCGCAAAUAGAAAACAGAAAAUGUAGAAACGUAUGAAGACAAAAGAACCACCAAGACAAAUAAACCAAACCCAGGGUCGUUAGCAGUUCCUCCUUGCCAAGAUAAAAUGUGAACAUUUUAGUUCCUCUCCUUUCCAUCUUGUUCUUUGUGUGUGUCCAUGCCUUCACACACACACACACACACACACGUGUAAAAUGGGGAUUACAUUGUAUAUUCUUUUUUGUUUCCAGCUUUUUCCACUUAGCCAUAUAAUGUUAACAUUUCCCCACAUCAAUAAAGGAGCUUCAGUCCUGGGCUCAUUAACUCAUCCAAGGCAUGUUCUGCCCAACUUUGUUUUCUUCUGUGUCUAGCCAUAUGCCUCCUCUCUGGGCUGCACCCCAGGGGGACACAGAGCCUUUUCCAGCAGACUGAGCUUGUUGGUACUGAGGGGCUUGCUUUGCAAGUGACACAUACUCCUUUUGUCUGUAAAUCUAUCGAACUGUAUGCAGGAUGGGCCUGUUAUCUUGUUCAAAUCCUACGAGAGAGAGAGAGAGAGAGAGAGAGAGAAAGAGAGAGAGAGAGAGCGCCUUUUCCACAAGGAGCUCCAAGGCUGUGUGCACACCCUUCUGUCCAUGCUGGAUUUAGAACCAGAACAGCAAGAGCAGAGAAUGGGGCCCAGCCCUGUUAGGGUGGCUGACCCCCUUCCAGCCACUCCAGUCCUGUUUCCUAAAGGGAAUUAAUUGUUGGCCUCGGGGAAAGAAUUCGCAAAGGACUGUUGCAUGGACAUGGUAGGAACUGUUGACCUUGAGACCUGUACAUGCUAGGUCUUAUUUUCAGCUGAAAUGAACCACUAACUGAGGGAAAAGAAGAGUAUUUCACUUUGUGGUGAAUCCUCUGAGCCUACGGGAAUCAUCUUGGCCCAUGUUUAUGUGUCACCUGGCCUCCGCCCAGGGUGGCCACCCAGGGGCGCCACGUCCUUAGAAAGGAUUGUUAGUCCAGGAGGCAAGGUUCCUGGGCAGCCUUUCCAAGGUUCAGCCCUGACCUCUUUGCCAAAA